UACGUAGGGGGCAAGCGUUGUCCGGAAUCAUUGGGCGUAAAGCGCGUGUAGGCGGCUUGGUAAGUCCGCUCUGAAAGCCCGGGGCUCAACCCCGGGAGGCGGGUGGAUACUGUCAAGCUCGAGUCCGGAAGAGGCGAGUGGAAUUCCUGGUGUAGUGGUGAAAUGCGUAGAGAUCGGGAGGAACACCUGUGGCGAAGGCGGCCAGCUGGGCCGGACCUGACGCUGAGACGCGAAGGCGUGGGGAGCGAACGGG
rnacentral:rRNA from 1 species